rnacentral:tRNA from 1 species
AGGCCCGUGCCCGAGCGUUCAGGGGCCACCUUGAUAGGGUGUACCACAGGGGUUAGAUCCCCCUCGGGCCUU